rnacentral:rRNA from 1 species
CAGUAGCCACGGUAAUACAGUGGGUGCGAGCGUUAAUCGGAUUUACUGGGCGUAAAGCGUGCGUAGGCGGCUUCUUAAGUCGGAUGUGAAAUCCCUGAGCUUAACUUAGGAAUUGCAUUCGAUACUGGGAAGCUAGAGUAUGGGAGAGGAUGGUAGAAUUCCAGGUGUAGCGGUGAAAUGCGUAGAGAUCUGGAGGAAUACCGAUGGCGAAGGCAGCCAUCUGGCCUAAUACUGACGCUGAGGUACGAAAGCAUGGGGAGCAAACAGGAUUAGAUACCCCAGUAGUCCCUGUCUCUUAUAC